CCUACGGGAGGCAGCAGUGGGGAAUCUUGCGCAAUGGGCGAAAGCCUGACGCAGCAACGCCGCGUGCGGGAUGAAGGCCUUCGGGCUGUAAACCGCUUUCAGCAGGAACGAAAAUGACGGUACCUGCAGAAGAAGGAGCGGCCAACUACGUGCCAGCAGCCGCGGUGACACGUAGGCUCCAAGCGUUGUCCGGAUUUAUUGGGCGUAAAGAGCUCGUAGGCGGUCUAGUAAGUCGGGUGUGAAAACUCUGGGCUCAACCCAGAGACGCCAUCCGAUACUGCUAUGACUUGAGUUCAGGAGGGGAGCGGGGAAUUCCUAGUGUAGCGGUGAAAUGCGCAGAUAUUAGGAGGAACACCGGUGGCGAAGGCGCCGCUCUGGACUGAAACUGACGCUGAGGAGCGAAAGCAUGGGUAGCAAACAGGAUUAGAUACCCUGGUAGUCCAUGCCGUAAACGGUGGGCACUAGGUGUGGGUUUCAACUACGAAAUCCGCGCCGUCGCUAACGCAUUAAGUGCCCCGCCUGGGGAGUCGGUCGCAAGCUAAAACNAANGAUGACGNNGAGAGNGCGACGACGACGACGAGGGAGAGG
rnacentral:rRNA from 1 species